rnacentral:rRNA from 1 species
AACGAACGCUGGCGGCAUGCCUAACACAUGCAAGUCGAACGAAGUCUUCGGACUUAGUGGCGCACGGGUGCGUAACGCGUGGGAAUCUGCCCUUGGGUGCGGAAUAACUUCUCGAAAGGGAUGCUAAUACCGCAUAAUGUCGUAAGACCAAAGAUUUAUCGCCCAAGGAUGAGCCCGCGUAAGAUUAGCUAGUUGGUGGGGUAAAAGCCUACCAAGGCGACGAUCUUUAGCUGGUCUGAGAGGAUGAUCAGCCACACUGGGACUGAGACACGGCCCAGACUCCUACGGGAGGCAGCAGUGGGGAAUAUUGGACAAUGGGCGAAAGCCUGAUCCAGCAAAUGCCGCGUGAGUGAUGAAGGCCCUAGGGUUGUAAAGCUCUUUUACCAGGGAUGAUAAUGACAGUACCUGGAGAAUAAGCUCCGGCUAAACUCCGUGCCAGCAG